GCGAUCUAUCCAUGGGCAGGUUGAAGGUUGGGUAACACUAACUGGAGGACCGAACCGACUACCGUUGAAAAGUUAGCGGAUGACCUGUGGAUCGGAGUGAAAGGCUAAUCAAGCUCGGAGAUAGCUGGUUCUCCUCGAAAGCUAUUUAGGUAGCGCCUCAUGUAUCACUGUAGGGGGUAGAGCACUGUUUCGGCUAGGGGGUCAUCCCGACUUACCAAACCGAUGCAAACUCCGAAUACCUACAAGUGCCGAGCAUGGGAGACACACGGCGGGUGCUAACGUCCGUCGUGAAAAGGGAAACAACCCAGACCGUCAGCUAAGGUCCCAAAGUUAUGGUUAAGUGGGAAACGAUGUGGGAAGGCUUAGACAGCUAGGAGGUUGGCUUAGAAGCAGCCACCCUUUAAAGAAAGCGUAAUAGCUCACUAGUCGAGUCGGCCUGCGCGGAAGAUGUAACGGGGCUCAAACCAUACACCGAAGCUACGGGUAUCACGUAAGUGAUGCGGUAGAGGAGCGUUCUGUAAGCCUGUGAAGGUGAGUUGAGAAGCUUGCUGGAGGUAUCAGAAGUGCGAAUGCUGACAUGAGUAACGAUAAUGGGUGUGAAAAACACCCACGCCGAAAGACCAAGGUUUCCUGCGCAACGUUAAUCGACGCAGGGUUAGUCGGUCCCUAAGGCGAGGCUGAAAAGCGUAGUCGAUGGAAAACAGGUUAAUAUUCCUGUACUUCUGGUUAUUGCGAUGGAGGGACGGAGAAGGCUAGGCCAGCUUGGCGUUGGUUGUCCAAGUUUAAGGUGGUAGGCUGGAAUCUUAGGUAAAUCCGGGAUUCUAAGGCCGAGAGCUGAUGACGAGUUAACUUUUAGGUAACGAAGUGGUUGAUGCCAUGCUUCCAAGAAAAGCUUCUAAGCUUCAGGUAACCAGGAACCGUACCCCAAACCGACACAGGUGGUUGGGUAGAGAAUACCAAGGCGCUUGAGAGAACUCGGGUGAAGGAACUAGGCAAAAUGGCACCGUAACUUCGGGAGAAGGUGCGCCGGUGAGGGUGAAGGACUUGCUCCGUAAGCUCAUGCCGGUCGAAGAUACCAGGCCGCUGCGACUGUUUAUUAAAAACACAGCACUCUGCAAACACGAAAGUGGACGUAUAGGGUGUGACGCCUGCCCGGUGCCGGAAGGUUAAUUGAUGGGGUUAGCUAACGCGAAGCUCUUGAUCGAAGCCCCGGUAAACGGCGGCCGUAACUAUAACGGUCCUAAGGUAGCGAAAUUCCUUGUCGGGUAAGUUCCGACCUGCACGAAUGGCGUAACGAUGGCGGCGCUGUCUCCACCCGAGACUCAGUGAAAUUGAAAUCGCUGUGAAGAUGCAGUGUAUCCGCGGCUAGACGGAAAGACCCCGUGAACCUUUACUAUAGCUUUGCACUGGACUUUGAAUUUGCUUGUGUAGGAUAGGUGGGAGGCUUUGAAGCGUGGACGCCAGUCUGCGUGGAGCCAUCCUUGAAAUACCACCCUGGCAACUUUGAGGUUCUAACUCAGGUCCGUUAUCCGGAUCGAGGACAGUGUAUGGUGGGUAGUUUGACUGGGGCGGUCUCCUCCUAAAGAGUAACGGAGGAGUACGAAGGUGCGCUCAGACCGGUCGGAAAUCGGUCGUAGAGUAUAAAGGCAAAAGCGCGCUUGACUGCGAGACAGACACGUCGAGCAGGUACGAAAGUAGGUCUUAGUGAUCCGGUGGUUCUGUAUGGAAGGGCCAUCGCUCAACGGAUAAAAGGUACUCCGGGGAUAACAGGCUGAUACCGCCCAAGAGUUCAUAUCGACGGCGGUGUUUGGCACCUCGAUGUCGGCUCAUCACAUCCUGGGGCUGAAGCCGGUCCCAAGGGUAUGGCUGUUCGCCAUUUAAAGUGGUACGCGAGCUGGGUUUAGAACGUCGUGAGACAGUUCGGUCCCUAUCUGCCGUGGACGUUUGAGAUUUGAGAGGGGCUGCUCCUAGUACGAGAGGACCGGAGUGGACGAACCUCUGGUGUUCCGGUUGUCACGCCAGUGGCAUUGCCGGGUAGCUAUGUUCGGAAUAGAUAACCGCUGAAAGCAUCUAAGCGGGAAACUAGCCUCAAGAUGAGAUCUCACUGGAACCUUGA
rnacentral:rRNA from 1 species